AUAGACUGAUAAAUGGAGGCAGAUGGAGAAAACCAGCAGCAGCCAGCCCUGCCUGCUGCCUGGGCAAGGCCAAGCCUCAAGAUCACAGCCUCCCUGGGCAAUGCUGGCUCUCUGCUCACACCAUUGUUUCAUGCCCAAAGCCAAAGUGGUGAAAAAGCAAUGGCCAGGCCCGUGGGUGGGGUUUGUCUCCAUGACACCCCCCUUCUAUGACAUCUGUCUCCUACCAAGGCCUGGGAAAUGUCCCUCUCAAAGCCAUUAGCUCCUUCCAUGCCAAGCAUUUAGUGACAUUCCUUUAGUCCUCUGUGGCACUUAGAAAACAUAGCUAUUAAGUAACUAUAUUAAGAAAUGCCAUCUACAGCCCACCCUUGGCCAGCCCCACAAGCCCUAGUGACGUCCACCCUCCAGGGUCAUGGGGAAGGAGGCCCCUGGUGGCAUCUUGGGUCCUAAAUUGCUUUUCCUGGCACAGUCCCACCCUCUGGGCUCUGCCAGACAGACUACUGCAAUGGAACCUCAUUUUACAAGAACCCUAGAUUGAAAAAAAAAAAAAAACACCAGAAGUUCACAACACAUGUGUCUCAGCAGUCAAUGCUUCAGCAGCCUCCUCCUGGGUCUAAAACAGGAUUCCAUCUACACUCCUGUACCCCAAACACCACUUUCAAAUGCCUGUCAGUUGCAGAGUGGGAACCAUCACACCCACAGCCAAGAAUUGCGCUUCUUCAACUUCAGUGAGCAUGGACGGAGUUUCACUGUGUUACCCAGGCUGGAGUGCAAUGGCGCGAUCUCGGCUCACCCCAACCUCCACCUCCUGGUUUCAAGCAAUUCUCCUGCCUCAGCCUCCUGUGUAGCUGGGAUUACAGGCACGCGCCACCAUGCCCAGUGCUGAGAUUACAGGCUUAAGCCACCGUGCCCAGCCAAAAAAGAAUUAUUGGAGGAGAAAGGGCUUGGAGGGAAAGUUGGACCUCAAAAACAAACAAGAGCAGCAGCUCACAUGUGCCAGUGAUGAUGAUGUGCAGUGACCUGAAGAAAACCCUCUGCCUCUAAGAUCAGCAUCGGGAAAGGCAAGAGACAAGUCUGCCCCGGGCAUUUAGGUGUGAACUAUUACGUUAUACCAACAUAUGGGGAGAAAUAAAGCAUAAAAUUGUCAUCAUCAUUUAC